AACGAGCGCUGGCGGCAGGCUUAACACAUGCAAGUCGAGCGCCCCGCAAGGGGAGCGGCAGACGGGUGAGUAACGCGUGGGAAUCUACCCAUCUCUACGGAAUAACGCAUGGAAACGUGUGCUAAUCCCGUAUACGUCAUUCGGGAGAAAGGUUUAUCGGAGAUGGGAUGAGCCCGCGUUGGAUUAGCUAGUUGGUGGGGUAAAGGCCUACCAAGGCGACGAUCCAUCGCUGGUCUGAGAGGAUGAUCAGCCACACUGGGACUGAGACCCGGCCCAGACUCCUACGGGAGGCAGCAGUGGGGAAUAUUGGACAAUGGGCGCAAGCCUGAUGCAGCCAUGCCGCGUGAGUGAUGAAGGCCCUAGGGUUGUAAAGCUCUUUCACCGGGGAAGAUAAUGACGGUAACCGGAGAAGAAGCCCCGGCUAACUUCGUGCCAGCCGCCGCGGUAAAAC
rnacentral:rRNA from 1 species